UCGCUCACUCUGACAGCGCCGAGGUGCGCCGAGCAGGAGCGGGGAACAAAGGAGCGGUGUGGGGAGGGGAGCGAGUUGGGCGAGGGGGAGCCCCCGGCCGGCUGCCAGAAGAUUCCGGCAGGAGAAAGCCCAAGUGUCACUUGAAUUCCACCCAAGGAGCGGGAGCCUGGGAUCCGAGCGCCUUGUUUAGCAAUAACGGCUGGAGCGCGUUCUACAAGUUACGGGAGAGUCGGCCGGGAAGGAGGACAAUCACUCGGCCCCUUCGCCCUCGCUCCUAGCCCCUGGAGACCCCAGCGUCGCCUCGCGCUGGAAGGGGAGCUCCAGAAUGAAAAGCAAGAAAGGUGUUGUUGCCGCGUCUGGCAGUGAGACCGAGGAUGAUGACAGCAUGGACAGCCCCCUGGACCUCUCCUCUUCUGCUGGCUCGGGCAAGAGAAGGCGGAGGGGCAACCUGCCCAAGGAAUCCGUUCAGAUUCUCCGCGAUUGGCUGUAUGAACACCGAUACAAUGCCUACCCCUCAGAGCAAGAAAAAGCAUUACUGUCCCAACAAACACACCUCUCUACACUACAGGUCUGUAACUGGUUUAUCAACGCCCGGCGCAGGCUCCUCCCCGACAUGCUGAGAAAGGAUGGCAAAGAUCCAAAUCAGUUCACAAUUUCCCGCCGAGGGGCCAAGAUAUCUGAAGCCAGCUCUGUGGAGUCAGCAACAGGCAUCAAAAACUUCAUGCCGGCUCUAGAGGAGAGCCCUUUUCACUCCUGUACAGCUGGACCCAACCCAGCCCUAGGGAGGCCACUGUCUCCUAAGCCGUCAUCCCCAGGAUCCAUUUUGGCUCGUCCAUCGGUUAUCUGUCAUACCACUGUGACUGCAUUGAAAGAUGUGCCUUUCUCUCUCUGCCAGUCAGUUGGUGUGGGACAAAACGCAGAUAUACAGCAGAUGGCAGCCAGCAGCUUUACAGACACCUCCCUCAUGUACCCAGAGGACACGUGUAAAUCUGGACCAAGUGCACACACACAGAGUGGUCUUUUCAACACUCCUCCCCCUACUCCACCGGACCUCAACCAAGAUUUUAGUGGAUUUCAGCUUCUGGUAGAUGUUGCACUCAAACGGGCUGCAGAAAUGGAGCUUCAGGCAAAACUUAUGGCUUAACCCCUUUUUUCAAGCAAAACAGUUCUCAGAAAUGUUAUGAUUGCUGGGAUGAUGGCAAGAGUACGUGGGCCCCUCACUGUUGUGGCCUCUCUCGUUGCGGAGCACAGGCUCCGGACGCGCAGGCUCAGCGGCCAUGGCUCACGGGCCCAGCCGCGCCGCGACAUGUGGGAUCUUCCCAGGCCGGGGCACGAACGCGUGUCCCCUGUAUCGGCAGGCGGACUCUCAACUACUGUGCCACCAGGGAAGCCCGACCCUCUACUUUAAAACUCUGAAUCAGGAGUUCUCAAACUUAUCUACACAUUGGAAUUGCCUGGAAAGCUUUAAAAACAACUGUGGCUUGGAUUUCGGAAUUAUUUUAAAGAUCCCCUGAUGAUUCUAAUACAUAAACAAAUUUGGGAACCACUGCUCUAAACUAUUCUUUAGCCACUGUUUCUCUUUGUAAGUAGAACACUGGGAGUUGACAAUUGAUUCUCUUUGCAGACCUAGAAAAAUUUGCUUUUGUAGUCUUUUGGGGCAUUUGACAGUUUUUGUAAAAGAAAUGCAAUUUGCUGUAGAAUUAUCACCCAGGUCAGCUUAACCAGUGAGAGUUGAAUUUGGCACUGAGCUCAUCCUAUGGUGUACCUAUAGCCCAUACAAUAUGUAAAACCAAGACACUAACAAAUAGACCUAACACUGCAGGAAGGUAAACGUGGCUUUGGAUCGAACCAAAAAAUAAAGUUUAUAUCUGGAACCUGGCCAGAGAGUAAAAAGCAGUAUUCAGACAUCAAGGUUUAAACAGUCUCAGUGAGAGGAGAAUGUGGCAAGUCUUGACCUCUCACUAAAAACAGACUGCCAUCUUAGAUGGGUUUUAUGAUUCAGAGACUGGAAGCAGAAAAUACUCAACAAUACCUUGUGGCUGAGGAAAAGGAGUAACUUAAGGUUCACGGUCACAAUAGGACAGCUGACAAGUAAGGGCAGCAUGAUAAAACGAUGGAGACCACAACGACAAGGAUUUCACCAAAUACCAAGGAAACAGUCUUGAAUGAAAUAUUUUAUAGACACCGGAGAACGUACAAACUCUGAAGCACUGAGUCAGUGACUUACAAAUGGAAUCAAAUCCCACGAUAGGGAUGUACUCAGACUUGCAGAGAACAGACAUUUAAGUAACAGCAUAGGGAUAAGGAAAAUGAAACAAUAGAGGGGUUUUUCUAGAAGGUAAAUUGUUAUCCUAAGAAGCCUUGCCAACUUGCUUUUCUUGUUUUUUUUAAUAUUCCAAACUUGUCUUCAUAAAUAAAUUACUGAAACUUGAACAUGGUCACAUUUGAUUGAAUCACUCAAAUGUAUGACCUUAGGACAAAUUCAGCUUUUCUAUCUUGCCUCAAAUUAUUGCUAAUAUGUAUAUACUUAAUACACUAAAGGCAUGUAUUCUUUUCAUAUAAAUUUUAAUAUGAGGAUAGGGCUUUUAGAGAAUGUAAAUAGAUUGAAAUACACUAAAAGAUAGUCUUUUUAACUUUUAACCCUUUAAAUAACAUUUUAUUACCUUUUGGCUUGUUACCUAAUCUGAUCACUAAUGUUUUGUUACUUUAAAGUUCUUUCCAGGGAAUUCCCUGGCGUUCCAGUGGUGAGGACUCCGUGCUCUCACUGCCAAGGGCCUGUGUUCAAUCCCUGGUGGGGGAACUAAGAUCCCACAAGCCGCGCUGUGUGGCAAAAAAAUAAUAAAAAAAGGAAAAAGUUAUUUCCGUUGAUUUUUGUUUUGGAAUUUGAUUCAUUCAGAUGAGUCUGUGAAAUGCCUAUGUGUAUAUUUACGUUAGCUAACUUUUCCUCCAGCUUGUUCGUACAGACAGUCUGCACAAUCCGGAACAUCACUUACUUUAAAUUCUCUCAUCAACGGUCCUUCUAAUUGUAACAUGGUUUUCUGGUAGCAUCUGUAAGUCCAGUACUGAAAUAAAAAAUGUUAGAGUGAUUUG